GAAAUGAGUAGUUACUCUGUGCUGACUAUUUUGUUCUGAUACCAGAUUCGAAUUGACGUGACCCUAACACCCUAAAGAAAAUAUAUUUCUACAAAGCUGAAUCAGGAAAUGAAUGUCCACUCUUCAUUUCUAUUCAAUGCAGAUCCCGCUUUCAUUCCUAUUUGAUCAUUUUUUCACGAAAUAUAAAAGCACCACAUAGAUUUAAUCUAGUGUUUUAAGUAGUUGAACAUGUUAUUACUCCAACCGAGUGAAAGGGAGAAAAAUUACACUUUUUCAUUUUCAUAAAAAACAACUUUAUAUCGAAACGAAUGCCUUUUGAGUUGACGGCUUGCACAUGCGCAGUUCGGUGCGAGACAACCGGUAACCCGGAUAUGUUUCUACCCAUGAGGUCAGCCAGGCAACACCAUGGCAACGCCUUCAAGCGCUGUGGUCGAGGUUUUCUACUGGAGAAGCAGCUUCUGCCUGUCUUCAUACUGGACUUUCAUUGACUUUGUUUUAUAGAGGAGACGGCAUGCUAUUCGCACAAAAUUAUUAGUAUCAAGUACGGCUCUCCGGACAUCACUGGUUACAAGUUGACUACACAGAUCUAGCACACUGUUGCCAACUCCUCAGCAAAGGAAAGUAGCUAUUGGCUAUCCUUUUUUUGUUGAAAAUGUGUCGCUAGAUGGGGUGUGAAUACUCGCUAAAUAUAGCGACAAAAAUCGCUAAGUUGGCAACACUGAGAUUCUUAGCAUCAGCUUUAUCCAUCUCGAUAGACCAGACUGACCGGAAGCUGGACGGAAGUGGCCCGUCCACUGCGGAAAUGCUGCCAUGGUAACGCAGGUGACAAUAACAUGUCUGCAAAAGCGAAACAAAGCAACAAGUCAGCGGAUAAAAAUGCAAACGACAGAAAUGAUGCUGCGUCCAAAGAAAAUUAUGCUGAAAAAGCCAACCCUCAAUGGAAACUUAUUUCCCAUGAACAAAUCAACAUGCUGUUGGCUUUGACAGUGGAACAAGUGCAAUUCCAGUUUGAAGAAAUACUUGGUUUGAAGAACUACCAGACAUGUGUGAAGGAGGCAGCCCUGUUGGACUACUUUGUCUCUGGCUUCUGGUGGGCCAGGGAGAUGAACUACAGCUGUCAACAGAUCUCAUUCAUCAUGGCUCUACUGCAGUUGUUACUGGACAAUAUCAAGGAGAAGCAGAUGCCAUUUGGUGAUAACCUGAACGAGUUUGCCAAGUUGAUAUCAGGAACACGCCAGUCUCUUUCUCCAGAGGUUGACUCACUGUUUGAUGCUGAGCAGGCCAUGGCCAUCACUGACUACCUGAAGUGCAGUCUCUUUCAGAACUACCGACUAUAUGAGUUUCUCUUCAACCAACCUAGAGAGGGACUGCUCCUUGGAAAGAAGGUGAGGCUGUGUGUUCGCGUGCGUCAGUGUGUCCGUAUGUAUGUUGAGGUUUCCUUAAGGAAGCUAGUGAGUAACUUGGAAGGGCAGUGACCAUAAAGAGAGUCCUUUCCUGUCAUUGUCCCUAAGAAUUUAUUUAUCUGUCAUCUCUGACUAACUCACCAUCAGGGGACCAUUUAUCUGUCAUCUCUGACUAACUCACCAUCAGGAGACCAUUUAUCUGUCAUCUCUGACUAACUCACCAUCAGGAGACCAUGUAUCUGUCAUCUCUAACUAACUCACCAUCAGGAGACCAUUUAUCUGUCAUCUCUAACUAACUCACCAUCAGGGGACCAUUUAUCUGUCAUCUCUAACUCACCAUCAGGGGACCAUUUAUCUGUCAUCUCUGUCUAACUAACUCACCAUCAGGAGACCAUUUAUCUGUCAUCUCUAACUAACACACCAUCAGGAGAGCAUUUAUCUGUCAUCUCUAACUAACUCACCAUCAGGAGACCAUUUAUCUGUAAUCUCUAACUAACUCACCAUCAGGAGACCAUUUAUCUGUCAUCUCUGACUAACUCACCAUCAGGAGAAGUCAAACUAGUGGAAGCACCUUUCUGUAAAUGUACCGGCCCUAUACUGCAUGUACUGUGCUGAAACAAAGGUCAAUCACAACAGUUACAUUUUAGUCAUUUAGCAGACGCUCUUAUCCAGAGCGACUUACAGUAGUAAAUGCAUAGAUUUCUUUCCAUACUGGUCCCCCGUGGGAAUCGAACCCACAACCCUGGCGUUGCAAACACCAUGCUCUACCAACUGUGCCACACCGGACCAGUUCACUCUGUUCCUCUCACAGCAUUUAUCUAUCCUAUAAUAACAUCAGAUCUCAUUAUCACAGCAUGUAUGGAGCCUAUAAUAACAUCAGAUCUCAUUAUCACAGCAUGUAUGGAGCCUAUAAUAACAUCAGAUCUCAUUAUCACAACAUGUAUGGAGCCUAUAAUAACAUCAGAUCUCAUUAUCACAGCAUGUAUGGAGCCUAUAAUAACAUUCGAUAUCCUUAUCACAGCAUGUAUGGAGCCUAUGAUAACAUCAGAUCUCAUUAUCACAGCAUGUAUGGAGCCUAUGAUAACAUCAGAUCUCAUUAUCACAACAUGUAUGGAGCCUAUAAUAAUAUUCGAUAUCCUUAUCACAGCAUGUAUGGAGCCUAUGAUAACAUCAGAUCUCAUUAUCACAACAUGUAUGGAGCCUAUAAUAAUAUUCGAUAUCCUUAUCACAGCAUGUAUGGAGCCUAUGAUAACAUCAGAUCUCAUUAUCACAGCAUGUAUGGAGCCUAUAAUAACAUCAGAUCUCAUUAUCACAUGUAUGGAGCCUAUAAUAACAGUAUAUCUCAUUAUCACAGCAUGUAUGGAGCCUAUAAUAACAUUCAAUAUCAUUAUCACAGCAUGUAUGGAACCAAUAAUAACAUCAGAUCUCAUUAUCACAACAUGUAUGGAGCCUAUAAUAACAUUCGAUAUCAUUAUCACAGCAUGUAUGGAGCCUAUAAUAACAUCAGAUCUCAUUAUCACAGCAUGUAUGGAGCCUAUAAUAACAUCAGAUCUCAUUAUCACAGCAUGUAUGGAGCCUAUAAUAACAUCAGAUCUCAUUAUCACAGCAUGUAUGGAGCCUAUAAUAACAUCAGAUCUCAUUAUCACAUGUAUGGAGCCUAUAAUAACAGUAUAUCUCAUUAUCACAGCAUGUAUGGAACCUAUAAUAACAUCAGAUCUCAUUAUCACAACAUGUAUGGAGCCUAUAAUAACAUUCAAUAUCAUUAUCACAGCAUGUAUGGAGCCUAUAAUAACAUCAGAUCUCAUUAUCACAGCAUGUAUGGAGCCUAUAAUAACAUCAGAUCUCAUUAUCACAGCAUGUAUGGAGCCUAUAAUAACAUCAGAUCUCAUUAUCACAGCAUGUAUGGAGCCUAUAAUAACAUCAGAUCUCAUUAUCACAGCAUGUAUGGAGCCUAUAAUAACAUCAGAUCUCAUUAAAUAGAUUUGUUCAACCAGAGGUCUUUUCUAGGAGCUGCAGCGUUCCAGGAUGUGACAUAAUAAACAAACUCAUAAUUUCCAGACAGAGAGCUGUAGUACAGCGACUCCUCCCUGGUAGUUUGGUUGCCAUUAUGAGUCUGUUUGAUUUCCCAUUGAUAUCUUUACAAGCUCUGUUACCAGGUAAUAUGAUCCUUGUCUUAAUAUAUUCACAAAUGUGAAGGCAAACAUCCAACAUAUUCUACUGUGAGAUCAUGGGUGAGAUUACAACCUCUAUGUUUCCUGACUAACUGUAUUCCAGAGGACCAUAGAGGUGAUCAGCUCAGCAGACUUUGUAGCUCUGCUGGAAGAAGGCAUGAAUACUGAUGUCUACCUCCAUUACAUGACUCCUGUUGAACACCAUGAAGAGAUACUGUACUGUAGGACUACUGAUGUCUACCUCAUUACAUGACUCCUGUUGAACACCAUGAAGAGGGACAGAGGACCAGCCAGGUGGAGGAUGGAGAGGUACCAGGUGAAACAGUUCUGGAGCAAGAGAAGGAGAACAAGGCUACAGAGUUUGAAGAAUACAAUGUUCAGGAUGUGAAAGACGUGCUGGAUGACCUGACCAAAGAGAUGCUGAGAAACCUACAGGCUGAAUUCACAGAGAAGCUGAGAGUCCAGGAGGAGAUCUUCAGCACCAGACUAGAACCACUGAAACAUUCUGCCUGCAAAUAGCUACAAUAAACAAUACAGUCUAUAAUAUAUCCACAAUACACCACACAGUCUAUAAU